GGAUAGCCCGGCGAAAGCCGGAUUAAUACCGCAUACGCUCUACGGAGGAAAGGGGGGGAUCGCAAGACCUCUCGCUCAAGGGGCGGCCGAUGGCAGAUUAGCUAGUUGGUGGGGUAAAGGCCUACCAAGGCGACGAUCUGUAGCUGGUCUGAGAGGACGACCAGCCACACUGGGACUGAGACACGGCCCAGACUCCUACGGGAGGCAGCAGUGGGGAAUUUUGGACAAUGGGCGCAAGCCUGAUCCAGCAAUGCCGCGUGUGUGAAGAAGGCCUUCGGGUUGUAAAGCACUUUUGUCCGGAAAGAAAACGUCGUGGUUAAUACCC
rnacentral:rRNA from 1 species